rnacentral:rRNA from 1 species
ACGGCUCAGUAACACGUAGUCAACAUGCCCAGGGGACGUGGAUAACCUCGGGAAACUGAGGAUAAACCACGAUAAGUCACUACUUCUGGAAUGGGUAAUGACUCAAAUCUACAUGGCCCCUGGAUUGGACUGCGGCCGAUCAGGCUGUUGGUGAGGUAAUGGCCCACCGAACCUGUAGCCGGUACGGGCUCUGAGAGGAGGAGCCCGGAGAUGGGCACUGAGACAAGGGCCCAGGCCCUAUGGGGCGCAGCAGGCGCGAAACCUCUGCAAUAGGCGAAAGCCUGACAGGGUUACUCUGAGUGAUUUCCGUUAAGGAGAUCUUUUGGCACCUCUAAAAAUGGUGCAGAAUAAGGGGUGGGCAAGUCUGGUGUCAGCCGCCGCGGUAAUACCAGCACCCCGAGUGGUCGGGACGUUUAUUGGGCCUAAAGCAUCCGUAGCCGGUUCUACAAGUCUUCCGUUAAAUCCACCUGCUUAACAGAUGGGCUGCGGAAGAUACUAUAGAGCUAGGAGGCGGGAGAGGCAAGCGGUACUCGAUGGGUAGGGGUAAAAUCCGUUGAUCCAUUGAAGACCACCAGUGGCGAAGGCGGCUUGCCAGAACGCGCUCGACGGUGAGGGAUGAAAGCUGGGGGAGCAAACCGGAUUAGAUACCCGGGUAGUCCCAGCUGUAAACGAUGCAGACUCGGUGAUGAGUUGGCUUUAUGCCAACUCAGUGCCGCAGGGAAGCCGUUAAGUUUGCCGCCUGGGGAGUACGGUCGCAAGACUGAAACUUAAAGGAAUUGGCGGGGGAGCAC